UUUUUGUUUUCUGCAGAACACAGAAGAUAUUAUAAAGAAUGUUGAUGACCGAACAAACAGUUUUGGUUUCCAUUGCAUGGGCAUAAAUUGCAUGGACCUUUCUCAAUUUAUCUACACAGAAGAAAGAAAGUCGUGCAGGAUGAGGCCUGUGUCCUUUGAAGGAAGCAGCGUGGAAACGUGCCCAGGUGAAUUGGCAUUCCCACUGAGAAGUGAAAAUAGAUGUCCAUUCACACAGAGACGGCUUUUUGGGUCCUGGCCAAUUCUGCCAGGCUGCCAAUAGGGUGGCGUGACUGAGAGGGAAAUGAAUUGUGGGUACAGAGGGUUCCUCUUGACGUUCAAGACAACACCACUGUUAAGGAAGGUAACCUGCCUCAGGGCAUGUGUCUUAACCAGAAAAAUAUAAGCUAUAGGCCUGUAAAUGACCAUUCUGUGGGUGUUCUCUUUGAAACGUUACCCCUGGCUUUUUGAUUUAUGCUCGGCUGUUGAAAUUAAGGCCGCCCGAUAGUUUCAUAGCAAAGCGACUGCGAAGGACUGAUGGAAACUGUUCUGACAAGAACAACAUUUACAGGAUUUUUGAAACCCUAUAAAAGCAAAUAUACUGAUGUAAAUGUUGGCGCUUUACACAAAAUACCAUACAAAGGAAUAUUACAAUAAGGUGCAAAGCGCAGCUUGUUGCUACAAGGAUUUUGGGGAUUUUGAAAGAAAACAUCGGUGCUGAUGCAUUCCAUCUGCACAGAUUUUUUUAUUUUUUUCAAAUCGUGUCUGAAAAGAGAAGACGGCAAACAUAUAAUGGUUUAAUGCUGCAAGAGAGCUCCCAUUUCAGACAACAGGGGUGUGAGCCAAAGUACUAAACCAAAGCUUUUUGCUUGUCCCUCAAUUUAGUGCUUUUAACAGUGACGCCCUGAAAACAGAGCAUUAUUGUGAUAAUGUUUUACUUUACCCCUUAUAUCCCCCUUGUUAUUUGAGUACUUGCAAGGCACAUCCCCGAGCAUCUCUUUAUGUCCUGCUCCUAAAAGGACAUCAAACUCUUGGCCAAAUAGGAUAUGGCCACUUACAUUAUAUGUAUUUCUAAAAGAUGGAUGCUAAAAAGAGCACACAAUGGUUGCUAAAUUGGAAGAAUUACGUUAUGAGAAACUAUUCACACAAUACACUGUUUGGAUAUGUGGUUUUAUGCAUGAUGUAGAAAGUCCCAAAUACAUUAUCUCUUGGUUUUAUCAUGUUGCAUUCACAAGAUUCAGAUCCCCAGUUGAG
ensembl:lncRNA